rnacentral:rRNA from 1 species
GACGAACGCUGGCGGCGUGCCUAAUACAUGCAAGUCGAACGAGUGGCGGACGGGUGAGUAACACCUGGGAACCUACCCAUCCGAGUGGGAUAACUACUGGAAACGGUGGCUAAUACCGCAUACUAUCGGAUUAACCUAUAUGGGUUUAGCUAGUAGGUGGGGUAAAGGCCACCCGAGGCGACGAUCUCUAGCUGGUUUGAGAGGAUGAGCAGCCACACUGGGACUGAGACACGGCCCAGACUCCUACGGGCGGCAGCAGUUGGGAAUAUUGCCCAAUGGGCGCAAGCCUGAUGCAGCCAUGCCGCGUGUAUGAAGAAGGCCUUCGGGUUGUAAAGUACUUUAAGCGGGGAGGCGUUACCCGCAGAAGAAGCACCGGCUAACUCCGUGCCAGCCGCCGCGGUAAUAC